rnacentral:rRNA from 1 species
UUGAACGCUGGCGGCAGGCCUAACACAUGCCAGUCGAGCGGAUGAAGGGAUCUUGCUCCUGGAUUCAGCGGCGGACGGGUGAGUAAUGCCUAGGAAUCUGCCUGGUAGUGGGGGAUAACGUCCGGAAACGGGCGCUAAUACCGCAUACGUCCUGAGGGAGAAAGUGGGGGAUCUUCGGACCUCACGCUAUCAGAUGAGCCUAGGUCGGAUUAGCUAGUUGGUGGGGUAAAGGCCUACCAAGGCGACGAUCCGUAACUGGUCUGAGAGGAUGAUCAGUCACACUGGAACUGAGACACGGUCCAGACUCCUACGGGAGGCAGCAGUGGGGAAUAUUGGACAAUGGGCGAAAGCCUGAUCCAGCCAUGCCGCGUGUGUGAAGAAGGUCUUCGGAUUGUAAAGCACUUUAAGUUGGGAGGAAGGGCAGUAAGUUAAUACCUUGCUGUUUUGACGUUACCAACAGAAUAAGCACCGGCUAACUUCGUG